GCAUAGUCUUAACAGUGAGUCCGUAAGUGACUGUGGAGGCCAGUUCUAGAUCCACACGUCCUUCUACAGUGAGGACAUAGGUUUCCGGACGGGAGUUGAUCAUGGUGACGGUUUGCCAAACAUGCCUUCCUCUUAGCAUGUUUCUCCCUAUUAUCCUGAGCUUGAGCGUCUUCAAAGUCUACAACGUCUUUGGCAAAGGCUGUUCUCCAAUUGGAACAUUCGCAGGCCAGUGUUUCCCAAUUAUAGGUGUUUAUACCUGUACUACAUUUUUUAAGAUUGAGAGAGUCUUUAAACCUCUGUUGUUGACCACCAGCAUUAUGCUUUCCAUUUUUAAGUUAGGAAGAGUAGUCGCUUUGGCAGACACUAAUCAGGCAUCAUGACCAGUCCAGUGAAGUUGAUGUUUAAGAAUCAUUGCUUUGACACUGGUGAUCUUUGCUUCUUUCAGAGUACACCGGUGUUAGUUCACCUAUCUUCCCAAGUGACGUGUAAAAUUUUUCGGAGACACCGUUGAUGGAAUCUUUCGAGGAAUUGGAAAUGGCAUUUAUAAGUGGUACAUGUUUCACAAGCAUACAGUAAGGUUGGUAGUACAAUAGCUUUGUAAACAAGCAUUUUGGUUUCCAUGCGAACGUCCUUGUCCUCACUCUGCACUUCAAUUGGGAGAAAGCUGCAUUCGCUGAGUGGCAUUGGUGUCGGCCCUUGUGGAAGACGCCUGUGUGUGAAUUUGUUUUGUGUGUGUAGAUCAGUGCACACUGACCAACACAUAGCAUUUGCAGCAUAAUCCUACAACUAUGCAUAUAUCUUCUCACACUUCAGCUAAGCCCUCUGUAGUGUUGGUGACAUUUAGUAUAAAAACUCCUAAGCACGACAUCUGCUGGUCAAACGGAAAAAAUUCAGCAAAGGAGUCGUCAUAUCAGAUGAAGAACCAGGAACUUGUUUUCUGGCAGGUCAAAAAUAGCGACAGCUGUUUAAGUAGUGGGCCACAGGAAAUCAUUCUACCUCCAUUAUUUUCAUACCUAAAUAUGGGUCAACGGGAUUACACAGGAAAACAUUUCCCUGGACUUAUGAAAGAGGCUAUGCCACAUUCUCCUGUUCCCGCCUUUGGGAUUAUGCCCAACUCAUUCACUGAGCUCAAGAAAUGCUCAGUCUCAACAACUUAAUCCGCUGUGUGUGUCAUUUAAUUGGUGUAAAAGAUUGCAGCUGAGGAUCAAGCAUCCAAGUUCCAUCCUUAUAAGUAAGGCAAACAAGCUCUGCUCUUUAAUUAUAGGUAAAAAGGAUUCCUUAUAACCCCAUCUACAGUAUGCAUAUAAAGCAGAAAUCAUACCGCUUUAAAUAGGCCUGACUUUCCCCAAUGUAUCCUGGGAGUUGUAGUUUGUUAAGGGUGCAAAGUGUUGUUAGGUGAACCCUAUUCCCCUCCUAAAGCUACAAUUUCCAGAUUUCUUGGGAGGGGUUGAUUGUCAAACCACUCUAGAAACUUCAGCUUUGCGAGGGAAUGGGCGUCUCCUAACAACUCUCAGCACCUUUAACAAACUAGAACUCCCAGGAUUCUUUGGGAAAAGCCAUGCUUGUUUAAAGUGGCAUGAUAGUGCUUUAAAUGUAUUGUGCAAAUGCGUCCUUUGUUUAUUUGAAUUUGCAUACUUCCUUCCUCUGCAGAGUUUAAACCAGUGGCUUACAAUGUAAUCCUAUACAUGCCUACUCAAAAGUAAGUCCGAUUGAGUUUGGGGGUGGGGGGCUUACUCCUCAAUAUGGGUAUAGGACUGCAGCCUUAUAAUGUUGUAAAGCAGAUUCGUCAGAGCGCACAACCCAUCAAAGCUAUCUGCUGAACGUCAUAGCGGGUCUGGCCUUUUAACUGGGAUUUUCCACGUCCAUAACUCACAUUCAAACUAUACUUCCCUAGCUGUGGUUGUUCAGUGGUAAAGGAAAUCCACUAUUUUAAGAGAGUGCCUCUUGCUGCUCUGCAAGAGCCGCUGACGACAGUACUAAUGCAGGCAUAUUGUAGAAGGUACCAGAAAACCGUGGCAAGAGCUGAAAGGGUGAACUCUACCUGAAAUAUGCAUGGGAGCUCACUACAGUAUUCUGUUUUGGAAGGCUAUCCAAUGAAUCUGGCUGCAUUAAGUGUCUCCUGGGGAUGAAACAGCUUUUUAACGAUCUCUGGAAAAAUCCAAGCAGUGAAUGUCAGAUUGUCCUUGUCAGGAAAUAUCUUGGCCAGUUCAUCAAUGCAUCUCAUCUCACAGGUUUGGAGCUAAGCCUUGAUUGAACAUAACAUAUCUGCCAGCUAAGGUGAGAUCAGUCCACGUGUCUAUGUAGCUGUGUAUGGCCCUGGACCAAUUGUUUUCAUUUAUGAAUAGUCUAUCUUGCCUUCCCAUAUGUUUGAAGUGAUGUGUGUGUGUGUGUGUGUAAAUUAGCAUCCCAAUGGUGGGAAUGUUGGAAUAAGCAUGGGGG